GCCAGCGUGGCUCAGUGGUUGAGCGUCAGCCUAGGAACCAGGAGGCCAUGGUUCGAUUCCAGGUCAGGGCA
rfam:Myotis davidii contig170509, whole genome shotgun sequence.